rnacentral:rRNA from 1 species
UAUUCAUUUGACGUUAGCUGCAGAAGAAGCACCGGCUAACUCCGUGCCAGCAGCCGCGGGUAAUACGGAGGGUGCGAGCGUUAAUCGGAAUUACUAGGGCGUAAAGCGCAUGCAGGUGGUUUGUUAAGUCAGAUGUGAAAGCCCGGGGCUCAACCUCGGAAUUGCAUUUGAAACUGGCAAACUAGAGUACUGUAGGAGGGGGUAGAAUUUCAGGUGUAGCGGUGAAAUGCGUAGAGAUCUGAAGGAAUACCGGUGGCGAAGGCGGCCCCCUGGACAGAUACUGACACUCAGAUGCGAAAGCGUGGGGAGCAAACAGGAUUAGAUACCCUGGUAG